AGUCUGUCCGGCCCCCACCCCCGGCGCGCGCUCCUCCGCACCCACAAGGGCUUUCAGCAGCCGCGCCUCCCCUUCCCGCCGCCGCCUCCUUUUCCGCUGGCUGUGGCGGGCGAGGACACGUCAGGGGCCAUAAAUAAAUAAAUAAUUCCAUUCACCGGUUGACAGCAAGGCGAACCGGCUGCGGCUUGCGGGGAACAGAGAGCUGCAGCGCCCACCCUGCGCCAGAGACCAGAUAAAGAGUCAAUCUUAAGAUGUGAUGCUUUCAUGUGAAACCUGAAACAAGGUGAUCUGGGGAACCAAAGACUCUAGGACUCUUGGUGCCAACAGAGCUACUCUAUAAUCCAAAAUCUACUCUACCUCUCUUCAUUUGUAAUACCUUCAAAUAUCACACUUCAAGGUUUAGUGACUAGGCCUAAAGAUUUCACAUAUAAUCCAAAGAAAUCUGUUCAAGUGGACAUCUAUCAACA
rnacentral:lncRNA from 1 species